GAUGAAGAACGUAGCGAAAUGCGAAAAGUAAUGUGAAUUGCAGAAUUCAGUGAAUCAUCGAAUCUUUGAACGCACAUUGCGCCCGCUGGUACUCCGGCGGGCACGCCUGUCCGAGCGUCAUUUCAACCAUCAAGCCCUCCUUCGGGAUGGGCCUGGUGUUGGGGCUCGGCCGCCAUCUCCGGCGGCCGUCCCCUAAAUACAGUGGCGGUCACGUCGCGACUCCUUUGCGUAGUAGAAACACCUCGCUCCGGAUAGCAACGCGGUCCACGCCGUAAAACCCCCAAUUUUCAAUGGUUGACCUCGGAUCAGGUGGGAAUACCCGCUGAACUUAAGCAUAUCAAUAAGCGGAGGA
rnacentral:misc_RNA from 1 species